UUUGCAAUAAACAAAUACGCAACUGAAAAUGGAGGGAGUAGAAGAUUUCCAGAGGCCUUUAAUUCUCUCACCAUACAGCAAUGGGGGAACAAGAAGACGAAGCCGUGAUUCGAACUCAACCGAAUUCGAAUUCUGGAUGCUCCGAAACCCUUCUUUCCCUCAGCAUAAUCUUCUCUCUGCUGAUGAGCUUUUCUCCGGCGGUGUCCUUCUCCCUCUCCACCUCCGCCUCGACGACCCACCUGACAUUCAAGACCCUCGCUCAUCCAGGUCGGAUCAACUGGAGCCCGAACCCGAACCCGAUCUUUCAUCUGCUGAAUUAGCAAAUUUAUCAGCAACUAGUACAUUUACUUCAUCAAAGCGGUGGAAAGAUAUUUGUAAGAAAAGUGAUAAGAAAAACUCAAAAUCACCUAGCAAUGCUAGUAGCGGUUGUAAUUAUAAUGAUAAGAAGAAAGAGAAGAAGGGCGGUGGUGCUGGUAUUGGUUGUGGAAGUAAUGGGGUGAGUGCGGCGGAGCUAAAGAUAAAUUUAAUGCCUUUUUCGAGGAGUAGAUCCUCUGGGAACAACGGAAGUAGGCCGCGUAUGGUGGCAGGAUCUACGGCAUCGGCGACUCGAAAGGUUAGUAGCGAGCCAUGCUCUAGGUGUAACUCUGCAGGCGAGUCUAAGACGUCGAGGAAGUGGCCGAGUAGCCCUAGCCCAGUGGGGGUUCACUUGGCAAGAAACAACCCAAUUUCGCAUGUUCGCCGGGGCGGCGUGAUUGGGCGGAGCUCCGAUGCUAUGUUAAAGAGUAGUGCUGAAAAGAGUGCAUCAAAGCUACGAAAUGAUGGACACCGGAAAAUCCCCUUCGCCGAAUCCGGGGGCAGUGCUGAUGGUGGAGAGAAAGCUGGGGUGCUGAAUUUAAAUAUUCCUGUCUGUAUGGGAUACCGCCACGGCGCCACCACUUGAGUUGCAGUAGUGACGAAAAUAGUGCUGUCAGUGUUGUGGCGGAGGCCGGAGAAAGCAGUGGCCUAAGUGUUGAAGGUGGCUCCGGUAAUGCGUGGCAUGCUAGUUCAAGAUCCUUCGAAUGGUAAUGAUGUGGAUGCAAUCUUUGAUCAAGCUAGGCAGAUGGGAGCCAUACAAGGGCCCUUGUAGAAUUUUCAACCAUCUUCAGGCUCAAGUAGCAUUACUGGGACCUGAUGAUUAGUCUGGUGAAAUUGUACCAUCUGCUCCUCAACAACCUGAGUCUUUAUACACAAUAUUGUUUUCUGGAGAAAUGGUUUCACAGUUAAUGAUGGUCCUUUGGGAAGGUUGGAUGAUCCUGAAAAUGCACCAUUUCUGGAGGUAACAGGCAAUGGGCAUUGAGCUAUAGAUGUAACAUAAUAAAAAUAGAAAAUCAAUAAAUAUGGGUUUAAGAUAAUAUCUGCCUGAUAAUUCUGAUUGAAAUUCUAGAAUUGUAUUACUAGUAGCCAAUUAACUGACAUAUUAUGUACAUAGGUAAGAAUUAGAUUAUAAACCAUUAGUUUUCCAGAACACAACAUCUGUUUAAAUCUAAUUAAACUACUCUCUCCCCUUUUUUGUCCAACAUUCUCUAUCGCCUGCCUGUAUAACAUUUCUAUAGAUUACACAAAUACAGUUUCAUCAAAAUACAUCUUUAAGUUUUGAUCAUUUUUCCCUUCUUUUAUUUUGAUCAUGUGUUGAAAUCUUUAAGGAUCCAAUGCUUAGUGAUGAUAUUUAAUUGUGGAGCAUCAGAAAACCCGAGUGCCUUAAAGAGCUGGAAUCUGCUGACAGAAGAUUCUCUGUUCACGUUAAUCUUGUAAGGAAGGAUAAAUAUUUCCCCCUAAGACCAUAUAGCAUCAUAUUUGUUUCUCUUUGGAUCUUCUUUCAUUGCUUUUUUCUGAGGUUGUCUACCUUGAGUAUACUUUCAUAACCUGAACAUUUCUGAAGAGCAAAAUGUGGGGGACUUGAAAGUUUAACCCGGCUUCCAUAUUCUUUUAGAUCAAAUGUCAGUGAAAGAAAGGAAGAUUAGUUGGCGCAAAUUGAGCUAUUUAUUUUGUUGUCAACAUUAUUCACUUCUCCUUUCUGGUUUCUAGAAGAUCAACAUGCCUUUUCUUUGUUUUGAUUUCCUAAUUCUUAGCGCAGUGGUAAUGUAUGCUCUUGUGUGCACGUGCGAAUGUGAAAGAAUCAGUGAAAAGGUGAGAUCAUUUUCUUUACUUGCAUAAACCAGAGAAACGUCGUACUCCAUAUCAAGGUGUAGGUAGAACCCUUGGAAGUAGCUCUGCUAGUGAACCAGUUCCAGAAGCAGCCGUUUCUUCUUCUCUUAACACAGCUCAUUCACCUUCAAUGGGCAUGUUAGUGGACAAAUCUUCAAUUAUCACCAUAACGCAGGUCAUAUACGUUCAUUCAUUGAUGCGUCUAAGGCCUGGAGGAUCCAGGACUCAUCAAUUGCAGACGGUUGGAUUUCCUCCCGAGGUCCCCCACUGAUCCCACCCAGACCAUUGAGCAAGCAGGACUAUUGAAUUCGGUAGUUAUCCAGAAAACUCUGAUCAGCUAAGCAAUAUAUCUUUCGUUCUCGUCUGUCGUGUCUCUUCCUUGUGUCUAGACCUCAUCUGUCCUUGCUUCAUGUUUCUAAAAUCAAAAAUUAUAUG